CUUGUGUGGCCACCAGUUCACACAAUGCGGUCCUGCCGCAUGCUCUGAUUUAACUACUGUAUGGAAGAAUAGACUUGGAGGGGCUCGGUGGGAUAUAGAAAGGAGAGAGUUGGUAGAAGGAGAAAGAAGAAGCCAAUAUCCAAGUAAUAUACCUGACCAGAAGAAGUAAGGAAAAGAUGACUGACGUUACCAAAGCAAUGACAUGCUGUUUUACCCACCAGCUGAUGUGGAGAAAAAAAUAUGUAGAGCACCAUGAUGAUCAGUGAGAAGAUAUAAUAAAAAGUUUGCAGAUGCAAUUAUUUCCUGAGAAAACCCCAAUUUGUAACAUUUAACAUCAAGUUCCU